GGAACACUCUGGAGCGCCGGGCAUCCCACAGACACCAAACCAGGGCAGCACCCAAGUAAGACCACUUACCACAGCCAUUUGCAGCACGUGGUGGUCCGCGGAGGGAACCCGGUCUGCAGCCAACGGAGACUCUGCCGACCUGGAGGCCUUUUCUGCUGGUGACUGGCCCAGAUACCAAAGCAGCUCCAACUGGUCAGCCUGGAGCGAGGCACUGGUCCUGUCCUGCAGGGAGGCGUCCAGGCUCAGGGCGUCUGAGCACGGGGUCAGGGGCAGGCUGGGCACAGGCUCCAGGGUGAGGUCCUUCCUGACAACCUCCGGGGAGCUCCAGGAGGACAGGUCCAUUGCCCUGAGUGCGUUCUUCAAGGGCCCGGGCCCCUCCGUAGGGGUCAGGUCAGGGGAGCCACCGUGGAAGUUUGCUUGUAGACAACGUGGUCCUUCCUGCAACUCAACCUUAUCUUCCACGGGAACAUCUAGCAUUUCAUUUCUCAUCAGUGGGUCCUGAUUUCCACUCAGGUCAUUUAGAUCACACGUGGUCUUAUCGAUAUGAAAUGCAUCAACAAGAGAUGAUCUGUCAGUUUCUUCACCAUUACUGGAGCUAUCACUCAAACUAUUUUCUAAAGCACGUGAACAGGCCACCGGCUGCUGAGAUUUGAAAUCCUCUGUCUCAAUGUUCUGAAAGUUCACAGAACGCACCAGGUGGUUCAACUUUUCUUGAAGUUCUUUCACCUGACUUAUGAGACCAACUUUCUGCAGCUGACGAUCUUCCAGUAAAUUUUCCUUAUUCUGCAUAUAAAAAAGAAUACGCAUAGAGUAAGAUAGUUGAACUACACACAGUCACAUCUGUCUGUCUGGUAUUUACAAGCCAGUCUGAGAGGCCGUCUGAACAGUUAACAAUGAGCCUCCACGAGCCCUUGGGUCCCUUCGCAGCUCUUGAGAUUUCAAGCUAUUUUAAUCCCACGAAGGAGGCUCUCGGCCGUGAGCCCCCUGCCUACAGGUGCUUGCUGCAGAGGACUCUGGGAAGGCAGCAGAGCAGGAAGCAGCAGGAGCCUGGCGCCCCCGCGCUGCGCUACACCUGCCCGGGCUGAAGUCUGUCCGCUGUCUCCAACUCUGGAGUCUGUCCAAGGUUUGCAACUUCCCAGGGGGGCCAGAGGGUGCACAUCAGCUGCUACCCAGCCCUGGACCCCAGCCCUGGAGCAGCGAGCACAGGACGAGCACAGGACGUGUGUGAGGCACGGGGGGCCACAGGGGCUGCCCCACCAAUACCAGGCACCUGUGCUCUGGCUGCUGCUCCUGAUCAUGAAGGGCAAAGCCACUGAGGCCAUUGUUGCAGCCCCUCCCACUCUGGCUGAAAUGACCUCCAGGAGAUUUAAAGGGUCACUGCUCUCCUUUCCCACAACAGCAUUUUUCUUUUUUCUUUUUGAGGAGAAAUUAAAUGGGCACAGAGACAGCCUACAACAACCGAACAAGGUGCACCUGAGUGGCUCAGUGGCUGUCUUAAAAUCUCAAAAAAAAAAAAACAAAAAAAAAAACUAAACCAAACAAGCAAAAAACCACAAUAACAAAAAACAGCAAACUAUGAGAAACAGAUUCAGAUUUCUAUAUUUACUAGACUCAAAUGUUCAUCAUUCACAACAAACCAAAAAAAAAAAAAAAAAAAUCCCAAAAUCAGAAGGCAUACAAGGACACAGGAAAGCAAGGCCCAUUCAAAGGAAAAAUACAAAUCAAAAGGAACUGUCCCUGAAAAAGACCAAAUGUCAGAUCUACUAGUCAAAGAUGUUAAAACAGUCCUGAAUACAUUAGAAGAACGAAAGGAGGAUGUGGAGAAAGUGAAGAAAACGAUGUGUGAAUAGAGUAGAAAUACAAAUGGAGAGAAAGAAAAUCUAAAUGAACAAAAAAUUCUGGAGCUGAAAAGUACAAUAAUUAAAAAUUCACUAAAGGGAUUCAAAGGCAGGUUUGAGGAGGAAGAAGAAAGAACUGGUAAACUUAAAGACAGAACAAUGGAAAUAAUCAUCUCUGAGGAAAAAAAAAAAACUAACAAAAGCGAAUUCAGACUAAGGGACCUGUGGGACACCAGCAAACAGAUCAACAUACGCUUUGUGGGAGUCCCAGAAGAUGUGAGAAAGGCGGCUGAAAGAAUUGAGGACAUAAUGACUGAACACUUCCAGAACUGAUGAAGACACAAAUAUAAACAUCCAAGAAACUCAACAAACGCCAAACAAGAUGAACUCAGACACCCCAAAAACACAUUAUAAUCAAAUGUGUAAAAAGCUAAAGGCACUGAGAGAGAAUCCUGAAAGCAAAGUGAAGUGACUUGUCACAUACAAGAAUCCUCAAUAACAUCACCAACAGGUUUCUCAUCAGAAACUUCUGAGGCCAGAGGACAGGGAGUAGUCCGUACACUGAGAGUGCUGAAAGAAAAUCUGUCGACUAAAAAUCCAAUACCCAACAAAACUCCUUUAAGAGUGAGGAAGAAAUCAAGAUAUUCCCAGAUAAAUAAAAGCUAAAGGAGUUCAUGAUCACUACACUUGCCCUGCAAGAAACGCUCAAGGAAGUCUUCCAGGAUGAAAUAAAAGGUGACUAGACAGUAACUCAAAGUCACGUAAAAAAAAAAAAAUAAAGAUCUCAGUAAAGAAAUGCCUGUGGAAAUACAACCACCAAUAAAACGUGACGAUGGGCGUGGUCCCUGACCUGGCACACGAAGCACCCGAAAUAAGGUAGCUUGAAAGACGGACACUCCAUUUGAAAAUGGCUUCCUGUUUGGGUGUGUUCUGUUCACGACUGAGGAGGGCACCCGAUGCCUGAGACUGGCUGAAACCCGGAUUUCACGGACGUCACGCAGCCUGCGAGGGGCGGCACGGAGGACACGCGCUGAGUGUACCCUGGCCCCUUGGGUUCACGCCCCCACAGCUGCCAGGCACCACAGGCAAGGGCUCUGCACUGGGCCACAAAGCCAUCGGCACAGCUGUCUCUUUACAAGCUGGACUCUCUGCUAGAGCUACAAGAGGAGAUUUAAAAACAGGUUCUGCCAUCAGAGAGGUUUGUCUCUUGUGCCGUGUGACUCCAGCCAGCGUCCUCUCAGAGCCACUAGCAGGACGCAGAGGACGGCGCGGGAGGACACAGGCCACCAUCACCCAUCACCCGCCAGGGAGGCUCUGGGUUCUGCCCCCGACUGCACUUUCCAGAGCUGCCCCAGCUGCCGACCUCAGAACGGAAGGCAGGUGCCUCCUGAAACGGCAGAGGACCAUCCCCGGCCUCACGUCUGCAGCCCAUGAUCCACGGUCGCCCGGGGGGCUGCAGCACUGACACGACCAUGAACCCGGCUGUCUGGGGGUCUCCCCGGCGCACCUUCAGGCUGGCGUUCUCCUCCUGAAGUUCCCGCACACUGACGGCCGCACGGCUGCUCUGCGCGUCUAAUUCCAAGUUCAGGUGCAGCACUUCAUCACUCUUACUUACUAGGUCAUCUUUCAUCUUUCCUAAUUGUUCUUUUAAAUCCAAAACCUUUCAUUAAAACAAAAAAUAUUAAAAAUUA